rnacentral:rRNA from 1 species
AUGUUNAUUGGGGUUAUUAUUUUGGUGCCCUUCCGUCUCCCAGGUAGGUUGACAAAGAUUGAUUUUAUACGCUGUGAUAAAUUAUUCGGUGACGUUUAUAUCUGUUAUAUGGCUUUCUUAAUUUAUUUACCCAUUCGGCUAUGAGGUCGAGUGGUGUUAAACACCUUUUUAUGUUUUGUUUAUAAUAAAGGGUUAAAGCUACCCAUUAUUUAUGAAUAUGUUACAAUUUUUAUGGUUUAAUUCGAGUAGUAGGUUUUUUAUAAUAGUCAUUUUAGUUUUAAUUUUUAGGUCUUUUUAUGAUUAAAUUAGUAAUUAUAAUAUAAAUUUUGUUUCUCAAGAUUUGCCUGUCUGUUUAUUAAAAACAUUUCCACCUGUCUGUAUAGGUGGUAGUACCUGCUCUAUGCUUGUAGUAAAUGGCCGCAGUAUCUUGACUGUGCGAAGGUAGCAUAAUUAAUUGCCUUAUAAUUGAAGGCUUGUCUGAAUGGUUUGACAAGGUAACGUUUAACAUUAUUUAUUUUUGUGAAAUUAAUCAUAGGGGCACAGAAUCCCUUUAGGUUAAUUAGACGGAAAGACCCCGGGAUCUUUCUUUUUUGUCUGGGGCAGAUUAUAGUGUUUCACUUAUUAUUUUGACCCCGUC